rnacentral:rRNA from 1 species
AUUGAACGCUGGCGGCAGGCUUAACACAUGCAAGUCGAGCGGGGAAAGGUAGCUUGCUACCUGACCUAGCGGCGGACGGGUGAGUAAUGCUUAGGAAUCUGCCUAUUAGUGGGGGACAACAUUCCGAAAGGAAUGCUAAUACCGCAUACGCCCUACGGGGGAAAGCAGGGGAUCUUCGGACCUUGCGCUAAUAGAUGAGCCUAAGUCAGAUUAGCUAGUUGGUGGGGUAAAGGCCUACCAAGGCGACGAUCUGUAGCGGGUCUGAGAGGAUGAUCCGCCACACAGGGACUGAGACACGGCCCAGACUCCUACGGGAGGCAGCAGUGGGGAAUAUUGGACAAUGGGCGAGAGCCUGAUCCAGCCAUGCCGCGUGUGUGAAGAAGGCCUUUUGGUUGUAAAGCACUUUAAGCGAGGAGGAGGCUACCGAGAUUAAUACUCUUGGAUAGUGGACGUUACUCGCAGAAUAAGCACCGGCUAACUCUGUGCCAGCAGCCGCGGUAA